rnacentral:rRNA from 1 species
CCUACGGGCGGCAGCAGUGAGGAAUAUUGGUCAAUGGACGAGAGUCUGAACCAGCCAAGUAGCGUGAAGGAUGACUGCCCUAUGGGUUGUAACCUUCUUUUAUAAAGGAAUAAAACGAGGCACGUGUGCCUUUUUGCAUGUCCUUUAUGAAUAAGGAUCGGCUAACUCCGUGCCAGCAGCCGCGGUAAUACGGAGGAUCCGAGCGUUAUCAGGAUUUAUUGGGUUUAAAGGGAGCGUAGAUGGGUUGGUAAGGCAGUUGUGAAAGUUUGCGGCUCAACCGUAAAAUUGCAAUUGAUACUGGCAGUCUUGAGUACAGUAGAGGUAGGCGGAAUUCGUGGUGUAGCGGUGAAAUGCUUAGAUAUCACGAAGAACCCCGAUUGCGAAGGCAGCUUACUAAACUGUGACUGACAUUGAUGCUCGAAAGUGUGGGUAUCAAACAGGAUUAGAUACCCGGGUAGUC